CUACGGGAGGCAGCAGUGGGGAAUAUUGCACAAUGGGCGCAAGCCUGAUGCAGCCAUGCCGCGUGUGUGAAGAAGGCCUUCGGGUUGUAAAGCACUUUCAGUCGUGAGGAAGGUAGUGUAGUUAAUAGCUGCAUUAUUUGACGUUAGCGACAGAAGAAGCACCGGCUAACUCCGUGCCAGCAGCCGCGGUAAUACGGAGGGUGCGAGCGUUAAUCGGAAUUACUGGGCGUAAAGCGCAUGCAGGUGGUUUGUUAAGUCAGAUGUGAAAGCCCGGGGCUCAACCUCGGAAUUGCAUUUGAAACUGGCAGACUAGAGUACUGUAGAGGGGGUAGAAUUUCAGGUGUAGCGGUGAAAUGCGUAGAGAUCUGAAGGAAUACCGGUGGCGAAGGCGGCCCCCUGGACAGAUACUGACACUCAGAUGCGAAAGCGUGGGGAGCAAACAGGAUUAGAUACCCUGGUAG
rnacentral:rRNA from 1 species